AUUGAACGCUGGCGGCAUGCCUUACACAUGCAAGUCGAACGGCAGCACGGGAGCAAUCCUGGUGGCGAGUGGCGAACGGGUGAGUAAUAUAUCGGAACGUGCCCAGUGAUGGGGGAUAGCCCGGCGAAAGCCGGAUUAAUACCGCAUACGACCUACGGGUGAAAGCAGGGAGUCGCAAGACCUUGCGUCAUUGGAGCGGCCGAUAUCAGAUUAGUCNGUUGGUGGGGUAAAGGACCUACCAAGGCGACGAUCUGUAGCUGGUCUGAGAGGACGACCAGCCACACUGGGACUGAGACACGGCCCAGACUCCUACGGGAGGCAGCA
rnacentral:rRNA from 1 species